rnacentral:rRNA from 1 species
GGUCGCCUCACCGCGAGUACUGGUCCGGCUGGACCUUUCCUUCUGGGGAAUCUCAUGGCCUUCACUGGCUGUGGGGGGAACCAGGACUUUUACUGUGAAAAAAUUAGAGUGUUCAAAGCAGGCCUUUGCUCGAAUACAUUAGCAUGGAAUAAUAGAAUAGGACGUGCGGUUCUAUUUUGUUGGUUUCUAGGACCGCCGUAAUGAUUAAUAGGGAUAGUCGGGGGCGUCAGUAUUCAGCUGUCAGAGGUGAAAUUCUUGGAUUUGCUGAAGACUAACUACUGCGAAAGCAUUCGCCAAGGAUGUUUUCAUUAAUCAGGGAACGAAAGUUAGGGGAUCGAAGACGAUCAGAUACCGUCGUAGUCUUAACCAUAAACUAUGCCGACUAGGGAUCGGACGGUGUUUCUAUUAUGACCCGUUCGGCACCUUACGAGAAAUCAAAGUUUUUGGGUUCUGGGGGGAGUAUGGUCGCAAGGCUGAAACUUAAAGAAAUUGACGGA